UAAGGGCCUUUUUCAGUUGGGUUUGGGAAAUGUGGGGUUAAUUCCCGCAAGGAGCCCACCCUUUUCCUUUUGUUCCCACCGGUUAGGCCGGGCACUCAAAGGAGACUGCCAGUGAUAAACCGGAGGAAGGUGGGGAUGACGUCAAGUCAUCAUGGCCCUUACGACUAGGGCUACACACGUGCUACAAUGGCGUAUACAAAGAGAAGCCACCUCGCGAGAGCAAGCGGACCUCAUAAAGUACGUCGUAGUCCGGAUUGGAGUCUGCAACUCGACUCCAUGAAGUCGGAAUCGCUAGUAAUCGUAGAUCAGAAUGUCUACGGUGAAUACGUUCCCGGGCCUUGUACACACCGCCCGUCACACCAUGGGAGUGGGUUCCAACAAGAAGUAGGUAGCUUAACCUCGGGAGGGCGCUAACCACU
rnacentral:rRNA from 1 species